GGCGGCGUAGCUCAGUUGGCAGAGCACUCGGCUCAUAAUCGAGGAGUCGGCGGUUCGAGUCCGCCCGCCGCUA
rnacentral:tRNA from 2 species